GACGGAGGAUGCAAGCGUUAUCCGGAAUGAUUGGGCGUAAAGCGUCCGCAGGUGGCAGUUCAAGUCUGCUGUCAAAGACCGGGGCUUAACUUCGGAAAGGCAGUGGAAACUGAACAGCUAGAGUAUGGUAGGGGCAGAGGGAAUUCCUGGUGUAGCGGUGAAAUGCGUAGAGAUCAGGAAGAACAUCGGUGGCGAAGGCGCUCUGCUGGACCAUAACUGACACUCAGGGACGAAAGCGUGGGGAGCGAACAGG
rnacentral:rRNA from 1 species